AGUGAACGCUGGCGGCAUGCCUAACACAUGCAAGUCGAGCGAACACACCGGGAGCUUUCUCCUCUGACGUUGGCGACGGACGGACGAGUAACACAUGGAUAGCCUACCUCUUUUACUUGGGUAAUAUCGUGGAACCGGUGCUACUACUGGCUCAUAUAUCGUACCGCAUGGUUCAAUAGUUCUAGACGCUUUUGCUGUCACUUAUAGAUGAAUCCGCGUCGCAUUAGCUAGUUGGUAAGGUAACGGCUUACCAAGGCGACGAUGCGUAGCCGACCUGAGAGGGUGAUCAGCCACACUGGAACUGAGACACGGUCCAGACUCCUACGGGAGGCAGCAGUAGGGAAUCUUCCGCAAUGGGCGAAAGCCUGACGGAGCAACACCGCGUGAGUGAUGAAGGUCUUCGGAUCGUAAAACGCUGUUAUUAGGAAAGAAAAAAAGUGUAUGUACCGAUGAACGUAUUGACGGUACCCAAAGAAAAAGCCACGGCUAACUUCGUG
rnacentral:rRNA from 1 species